AAAAUUUUGUUCUGUUCCAGGUUCAGUGACGUGUCAUGGAAAUAUGGUAGAGAAUGCCAACUGUCCUAAAGAUCAGUACAUGGUGGUCAAGACUGCAUCGUACCGUAGAUUGUCUCCCAUAAAGACAUGUGGUUUGAGUGAUGAUCAUAGUUGUGAAGUUGAUGUAACAUGUCUUGUUAAGAAACAAUGUGAUGGUCAACAUGAAUGCAAUAUAACUGUGGAUGGCAACUUGUUCUCUGGUGAUCCAUGUCCUGGAUUGACAAAAUAUCUUUACUUUGAAUAUCAAUGUGUUAAUACAA
rnacentral:lncRNA from 1 species